ACAGAACAGACAUUGUGACAUAUAUCUAGGCAAAUUGCCUAGAAGUGAAUCCCCUCUCCUGCUUAAGUCCUUCCCACAGAGAGCGGUUUGAUAUGUCACUGAAACCAGCAUCCAGGUGGUAUUGCUCCAUAUGCCUGAGACCCUAACAAAAGCCUAAUUACAACUCAUAUGCCUGGAGCCAGGACAUGUGCAGGAUGCCAUGAUGGUCCAAGUUAUAUUGGGAUUCAGCCAAUAGAAGAUAUUUUGCCUGUCAUCCCUAAGCUUAGGACAAUAGGGUCCUGCCCACAAGAAAGAUUGUGACAUCUCACUGGACAAGCACCCACCCAGGUUACCUGACUCUCCUCUCCUGCCUGGACCCUGCUUCCACUGGGGACUGUAGCAUUUCCAAGCUCUGCAUCCAAAUGAUAAGACUCUCUUGCCUGGUCCUUUCAACAGGAGAUAUUGUGACAUAUCUCUGGGUGAUAUGAGUCUCCUCUUCUGUCUGGAUAUUGCCCACAAGGAGCAUUUUGCCAUACAGUUGGACGUAGCCCCAAAGUUAUGUGACUUUUCUGCCAGGAACUUGCCUGCAAGGAGAAUAUUGGAAAAUUCUGGCUCAGCAUUUAGACUCUGCCAAGAGAGGGGAUUAUUACAUAUUGCAGAGCCCAGCACCUAGGUGGAGUGACUCUCAUCUUUUUCUUCUACCCCGUAUAUAGCCAGCUUGGUGACCUACUAUUUGAGUCUAUACCCAGGCCCAGACCACAGAUGAAAUUGUGCAAUAUGUGGAACAAACACCUAAACAAUAUAUAACACCUUCCUUGGCUCUGUCUACAAAGGGCACUUUUAUAUAUCACUGGGACCAUCAACCAGGUGAUGUUAAUUAUCUUCCUGAAACCUGUCUACAAAGAGAGUUGUGUCGUAUACCUAGGCCCGUCAUGUAAGUGAUGUCAGUCCCUUCUACUGCCUUGGCCCUGCACUUACAGUGCAUUGUGACACAUAACAAGGUACUGCACACAGACGAUGUGAUUCUCCUUUUUGGGUUCUGCCAAAAGGAAGCAUUGUAAUAAAUCGCUUGGCUCAGUA
ensembl:lncRNA LINC00293 long intergenic non-protein coding RNA 293